rnacentral:rRNA from 1 species
CGCGUAGGCGGUCCGGUAAGUCCGCUCUGAAAGUCCGGGGCUCAACCCCGGGAGGCGGGCGGAUACUGUCGGGCUAGAGUCCGGAAGAGGCGAGUGGAAUUCCUGGUGUAGCGGUGAAAUGCGCAGAUAUCAGGAGGAACACCGAUGGCGAAGGCAGCUCGCUGGGACGGUACUGACGCUGAGGCGCGAAAGCGUGGGGAGCAAACA